rnacentral:rRNA from 1 species
UGAGUACGAGCUGCUACGGCAGCGAAGUUGGUGAUGUCAUGCUUCCAAGAAAAGCUCUAUACCCGUUAAGGCAUAACUGCCAGUACCCGAAACCGACACAGGUGGGGUGGUAGAGAAUACCGAGGUGCGCGAGGUAACUCUCUCUAAGGAACUCGGCAAAAUGGCCCCGUAACUUCGGGAGAAGGGGUGCCACAGCAAUGUGGUCGCAGUGAAGAGGCCCUGGCGACUGUUUACCAAAAACACAGGUCUCCGCUAAGUCGCAGGACGAUGUAUGGGGGCUGACGCCUGCCCAGUGCCGGAAGGUUAAGGAAGCCGGUCAGCGUAAGCGAAGCUGGCGACUGAAGCCCCGGUGAACGGCGGCCGUAACAAUAACGGUCCUAAGGUAGCGAAAUUCCUUGUCGGGUAAGUUCCGACCCGCACGAAAGGCGUAACGAUCAGGGCGCUGUCUCGGAGAGAGGCUCGGCGAAAUAGAAUUGUCUGUGAAGAUGCGGACUACAUACACCCGGACAGAAAGACCCUAUGAAGCUUUACUGUAGCUUGGUAUUGUGCCCGGGCUCUGAAUGCGCAGGAUAGGUGGGAGACGUUGAUCUAGUGCUCGUGGGUACUAGGGAGUCAAUGGUGAGAUACCACUCUUUCAGAGCUAGGGUUCUAACGUUCACCCGUUAUCCGGGGAGCGGACAGUAUCAGGUGGGCAGUUUGACUGGGGCGGUCGCCUCCUAAAAGGUAACGGAGGCGCGCAAAGGUUUCCUCAGGCUGGUUGGAAAUCAGCCGACGAGUGCAAAAGCAGAAGGAAGCUUGACUGUGAGACCUACAAGUCGAACAGGGACGAAAGUCGGCUUUAGUGAUCCGACGGUUCUGAGUGGAAGGGCCGUCGCUCAACGGAUAAAAGUUACUCUAAGGAUAACAGGCUGAUCUCCCCCAAGAGUUCACAUCGACGGGGAGGUUUGGCACCUUGAUGUCGGCUCAUCGCAACCUGGGGCUGAAGUCGGUCCCAAGGGUUGGGCUGUUCGCCCAUUAAAGCGGUACGCGAGCUGGGUUCAGAACGUCGUGAGACAGUUCGGUCCAUAUCCGGUGUAUGCGUAGGAAUAUUGAGAGGAUUUCUCCCUAGUACGAGAGGACCGGGAGGAACGCACCUCUGGUGUACCAGUUAUCGUGCCAACGGUAAACGCUGGGUAGCCAUGUGCGGAGUGGAUAACCGCUGAAAGCAUCUAAGUGGGAAGCCCACCUCAAGAUGAGUAUUCCCAUGGGGUAACCCAGUAAGGUCACGGGAAGAACACCCGUUGAUAGGCUCUACGUCGAAGUUCAGUGAUGGAUGCAGCGGAGGAGUACUAAUAGACCGAGGGCUUGACC